rnacentral:rRNA from 1 species
AUUGAACGCUGGCGGCAGGCUUAACACAUGCAAGUCGAGCGAGCGGCGGACGGGUGAGUAAUGUCUGGGAAACUGCCUGAUGGAGGGGGAUCACUACUGGAAACGGUAGCUAAUACCGCAUACCAUCAGAUGUGCCCAUAUGGGCUUAGCUAGUAGGUGGGGUAAUGGCUCACCUAGGCGACGAUCCCUAGCUGGGCUGAGAGGAUGACCAGCCAAACUGGCACUGAGACACGGUCCAGACUACUACGGGAGGCAGCAGUGGGGAAUAUUGCACAAUGGGCGCAAGUCUGAUGAAGCAAUGCCGCGUGUGUGAAGAAGGCCUUCGGGGUGUAAAGCACUUUCAGCGAGGAGGCGUUACUGGCAGAAGAAGCACCGGCUAACUCCGUGCCAGCAGCCGAGGGAAUAC